AACAUUAAAAAAUUAGAUAAUUUGCUAUGAAAAUUUCUCAGUAGAUAUUUACUUUCACCUGAUUACAAGAAGUAAAAAUGAUAGUUUUUAUUUAUUUUUUUCCAGUUUAUAGCAAGAAGAGGCUUAUAUCGUUUGUUGAUAGUCAUUGAAAAUUGGAGUUUGAUAAUCUGGGUUUAUUUAUUCUUCUGAGGUAGAAGUAUAUCGAGUCUCCCACUAACCAUGACAGUUGUGUCAGUGAAUCGUACAAGAUGACCAUCUGCCUUCUCCUUUCAAAUCUUCAGAUUGGGAUCUGUUCAACAUCAAACGAUAUCUGUUACCAGCCUCCUCGCAUCUUCGUAACGAGUCCGAGGCUUAAAGGAGGGAAAGGCGCCAAUACCUCAUCCAGUAUUCCACUCCGGUCGUAGAACUGAGGGGCCAUUCAUACAGAUCCACAUGGGCCCUCGGAAUUUUUGCAAGCCGUUUUGGAAGAGGUUCUUCCACUGGUCCCGAUGCAAACCGGGUUCGCACAAUGUCAUGUCGCUGGUUGAGCAUAUUAAGAAAACGGUGAAGUUUAUGGCAAUAAGAGGCCUAUAUCCUUUGUUGAUAAUCAUCAAGAAUUGGAGUUUGAUAAUACGCAGAGUUUAAUGGCAAGUAUUCGGCGGACCUGACCUGGGAAUGUUUCUUUUUCCACUGAACCAGAAGUAUACCGAGUCUCCACCAACCGUGACACCGAAUCACACAUAUGACAACUAUUACACUGCAAAGAUUUUAUCAAAUUUAUGAGAAUAUCAGAAGAAAUAAAUUUCACGGACACAAGCAAUGUGAAAGCUACACAACGUUUAGAAUCCUCGGCUAUUUGUCAUAUCAGCAGUACAUUGGCAGAAAAAUUUAGUACGCUGUUACCAGCCGUCACACACUUUCGUAAUGACUCCGAGGUUUAAAGAGGGGAAAGGUGCCAAAACCUCAUCUAGCAUUUUAUUCCAGUCACCACACGAACCUUCGGAGUUUCUGCAAGCCGCCUUGGAAGAGGUUUUCUCACUGGCUCCGAUGCAGACGUCGCAAGACGGUCAUGUCGUUCAUUGACUAUGUCAAGAAAAAGAUGAAGAUAAAUCAUCGUCCAAAAUUUCCAAUUUCAAGACAUAGGAAGAUGGUAGAAAUACUUGGUGAUAUGUCAGAUCCCUUAUGUCAUGUAGCGGAUUUAGCAGAAUUCAUUCGCUUAGUUCAUCCGGAAGCAAAACAUAGUCGAGCUGCUGUGGUGACAUAAUAGCAACUACAUCAAUUGACAAGCGUGUAGGUAAAUUAUUUCUUUUUGAUUUUGAACAGUGCGGUAUUCAUUUAUCAGAAUGAUAAUAAUUUUACUUAAUCUUGGACACCGAUUUGUUACUGGAACGGCCAGCCCUAGAAUGGUUAAGAAAAGUCUGUUACCGAAUAAUGUCAGUGAUGUGUAAAUAGACCUUUUAAAAUUGGGUUAUCAAUUUGCACACUUAUCACUAAAGACCGGAAA